UACUAACAAGAAAAAUUUAAAAAAAAUGGAAACAUGUAAGAAAUCAAAAUUAUAUUUAUUAUCAAAUAUAUUCACAAACAGACAAAAUCUACAACCAAUUAUCGCUGUGUAUACACAUCGUCAAAACAGUCGAAUUCGAUCAUUAUUGCGACUAACACGAAAUUCAUUCUUUCUAUCCUUGUACAAAUUCUCAGACUUAUAUCUAAUACCAUUUCGCAAUACCAGUUUUACCGAAUAACCAUUUUUCGCGAUUCGACUUGCAAAUCCGCGAAUACAAAAAGUCAAACGAAAGCAAGGAACAUGCGAGGUAUACGCAUACGUGUUAUCCUAAGUACGAUGCACCGAUUCGAACAAGCGAUCGAGCGAGAGAGCCACUCGAAUCAGCGAACGAUCGAGGAUUAUCUGCAUUCACCGGGGCAAGUUGACGACAAGGCACAGGAGGAGAAUAGAUUAAUGGCGGGAACGGCACCCAGAGAUAUUGUCAUUGGAUAUCGGAUGAGAGGGAGCGAGAGAGAGAGAGAGAGAGAGAGACCAUAAUACAUAAGGAUAGAUAGAGACACGUAGAGACGAGUUAAAGGCUAGGUGAAUAUCCUUCGUAUAUCGGGCAUGGCGUUACAGAGAGAUGACAUUACCACCGCGAACGAUAGAAACUGGAAUCGACGAGGAAAGUCGCGAUGGCCCAUCACAUCGAUAUCGAUCCUUAAUUUCGAAAAACGACCGGCAUCCUCGCGUGGGCGGACACGCUGGUCACCGAUCCAGGAACCUGCGCCACGUUGUUUCCACCGUGCACGAUGAUCCCCUUUUGUCGGCGGAUCAACCUCGUCGCGGAUUUCUCGGCUAUCGUCCUUCUGGCAAUAUGGCGUGAAGCGAGGAUAAUUCGGCGGGGGAUUUGGGGGAAUCACGGCAACCGUGCUGAUUUUUCGAGGAGAAAUUUUCGGUGGUGGGAUGGCGAGGGGUGAGUCGUUCCGCUUCCUAUUCAAGCUUUGUAUGGGAUUUCCAGGUACUAGAUGCUGCCAUUGCUCGCGAGGUUAAUAGCAAGAGCAGCGUUAUUAAGCGACGGGUAUCGAGCAAAAACGCGUCAGUUGGACGAGUAAUUGACCAAGAUGCAAGGAUACGAAUGAAAGUUCUCGGCGAGGUCGUUCGAAGGCGGACAGAGUCGGGAAAAAUUAUGGACGAGAAUUAUUUUAACUGUACCUCAACGUUUUCUGAUCGUUUGAAUAUAUUUUUCAAUACAUCUUUCAUCCUCCUCGCUGCAAUUUUAUUCUAUUCAGAAUAUUAUGAUCAUAACACCGCGUGUUCUUCUUGUUUUUAUAUCAUAACUGGAUUAUAGUAUUAAAAAGAAGAUACCAGUGAAUCUUUAUAGAAGAUUUCAAACGUAAAGUAUAUUAUGUUAUAACGAGAUUAUUGCGAUUUAUCUAAUAAUGUUUCUCUCUCUUUCUUUUUUUUUAUCUAAAUCCAUCGAACGAUAAAAUUACUGUAAAUUUUGAAGAAACGAAACGAGCGAAAAGAAAAAAAUGACUCGGUUGAGAAUCAUAUCCAAAAGGUGACUCAACUUAUCACGUUUGAUGUUACGAAUUGCAUUUCUUAUCAUUUUUUAUCGGGUCACCGGGUGCGUUAACCCUAUCCCGCCGGUUCAUCGAACCAGAUUUAUUGCUUGUUCUGUGCAAAUGUCGGCCCUGUCCGCCACGGUGGGAAAUUAUUAAAAUAGCGUAACAAUCUUCUGCGUGUCGCCAAGUCAGUAAGCCAGGUCAUGAAAACUAAAAAGAAUACGGAAUAACAAUAGCCGGAAAACUGUUUGGCCGUGGAUAAUAUAACCGAGCAAAUCUCGAUCAUUAAAACUACUCUUUAGACGAUUUAUUUCACAAAUUUCCUUCCCAUCGUAUCUCGUAAGGAACUCUAUUGUUGUUUGGCGUCCGUCGAAUUCGCUGGCUGGACGAAACAAAAUAUCCCGUGUAAAUAAAGAAGAAUAUACGAUCUAUCGAUAUCUUGACCAAACAAUAAUAAAAAACGUUUCUGCUUCGUUCCUUUUCGGGAUCGAAACACGGUCGUUCGGGACAAACAUCGAAGGAGAAUCGUUAACUUAAUCCACAAUCUAUACAAAUAAUAAAGGAAAUGUUACAAAAAUCUCAAUGUUAAUCUCAAGAUUAUAACAUUCGAUUACGCGUUGUCUUUUUUUUUUUCUUUCUUCUUGAUAUUUUUUUUUUUAACGCGCAACGUCGAGUUGCGUACCGCAAGAGCACACGCUUUCACUCUUAUCGAGGAUGGGAUACGAUAAUCGCGAUAGGAGGCGAGCAAUAACGCGGCAAACAUCUCUAAUCUUCGUUUAAAGCGGAUCGAACGGGACACGGUGGAACGAUUUAUAGAUCGCGCAGGUGCGGGGCCACGGCUAAUAUACGGCAAUUUAGUAAUUCUGAAAGCGUCCACUCUUUAAACGCGUACAAAUCGAAGUGAAAGAACUCCGCGUUUCCGAGAAGUGUAACCGAAGUCAGUCACGAAAGACACGGAGAGACACGUGCACGCGGGCACACGUAACACGACGAGAUUUCUCGAUAAGUGAACACUUCAAUGUCGGAGGAAAUUGUUUCUUUUUCUUUUUUUUUCUUUCCCCCAGUUCGUUUCAGAACGAUUUUCUUCGACGUGCCUCGAACGAUCCAACACGCUUGAUUCCGAUAAUUUCGAUCGUGGUUAGGUGUUGUACAAUGUUAUUGUUGUUUGUUUACUUUCACUUGUUACCUUCGAAUUAUUAUAUCUUUUUUGCAAGUUUUCAACUAAUUUUGUACAAAAUCAAAUCUUCCUAAUCGGUCUAGACGAUUAAACUUUCCCUAAGAAUCCACCAAUCUUAUAUCAAAUUUAUCUACAUCAUUAUUUAUCUCAUGGAUAUUAUCUACUACCACUGCCAUGAUUAUAAUAUAUCUAGAUUUAUUUUUAAGCUGGUGUAGCCCGUAUUUCGCGUAUGUAAUUCUAAACGAAAAAUUUCGAGUCAAUUUUCAAAAUAAAGAAAAACUUUUUUCUUUUCUUAUAUUAUAAUCCAUUCAAUGUAAUUUCAAGUAUCUUCACGGUCAAACAAAUUGUAAAGUUAGGCUAAAAUACAGACAGGAUUGCGUAACCGGAUUACAAACGCUUGGAAGUGUAUCGUUUCCCUUCCAAUUUAGCAAUUAUAUCGACCAUAUAACUGCGAAGGACACGACUAUUCCCUCCUUUACAAUUGAAAUUACAUAAAAUCGAAGAGCGGAAGCAUAAAGUUUCGCGAGGGUGUUCGUAGAUGCGAUAACGAGGCGACCGCAAACUUUCGAGACAGCCGCAAACGCUGAUUCGUGUCGUCCAACGGCAAGAAAACAUAGAAUUGUUGUAGCUAUCGGAUGACCGAGUUCGUUCCACGAAAAAAAAAAAAAAAAAGAAGAAGGAAUCUAUUUUGAUCGCACGAUUUUUGCCGCACAACCAAUCGAGGGACGGUCGUAAACAUUAUAUUCGUUAAAAAAUUGCGGUGGGUCAGUGGUGUCGUGUGGAUCACGUGCCGCGAUUAUCGAUAUUGGUUUUCGUUUUCUAGACUGAGAUAACGCUGUGAUCGAUUAACACCGAUAUAACGCCAAGAGGUGUAAUCACAAUACUUUUAUUUGAUUUUCUUCCCGCUCGUGAGAAGUGAAAGUAAACAAGAAUGCGCAAAAAAUUGUGAAAGCAAAUAAAUAGAUUAUAUAUAAGUAUCAUUUCGAUAAAAGUUUUCGUGGAAUCGAUUGGAUUUAACGUUAUGAUUUUUAAUAAACGAUUACCAGAAUCUUGAUCAUCGCGAAUCUGUCUAAAGAAUUACUUUUCAUUUCGUUUUCAACUCGAAUUCAUCCUAUCUUCCGAGAAACUUUUUUUUGGAAUCGUUUCUAAAAAUUCUGGACGCGGAACGGUCAUCGUAUUCGUCGAAUUAGGCUACUGUAAACCUCAGCGUCGAUCCAAGGUCACGAGUAGAACACCGAAAAAACUUCCGAAUUUCGCUGUGACCUUCGAUCGUGAUCGAAGAAACCACGUUUGUCGUUUAAAAAAAUACCUUUUCCACUUUUACUUUCCACGUAAAACGAGAAAGAAAUCGACGUAUAUUUCGAACAUUUGGAACUCUAAUUUUACCUUCGAUCGUUUUGACGAAUGAUCGAGAAGUAAAUUUCACGAAAAGAGAGAAAGACAGAAAAAAUAGAUUACAUCAAACGUGGCAAGCUUUACAACUUCCCCUAAAUCAAAUUCUUUACUCCUGUUCGUGCAAAUACAGAAAAAAAAAAGAGAAGAAAAGAAAGAAAAAGUGAAACGAGGAAGCGGAGACAAAAAGGCGGAGGCGGAGAGGGUUUGGAUGAUAGCGAACGAAUGCUCGUCCAAUGACUAAAGCCUGGUGCAUUCGCAGGUGCAUGGACAUGCGUUCCCGUUUGCGAGGGCGUAAUAUGCAGGUAGACGCGCGGAAAUCGUAGAUAACCAGUCGACGUGGGGUAUCAUCAAGGUCCGAUAGGCAGGAAUAUAGUUCGUUUAUAGACAGGCAGAACAAAAAAAAAGAAAAAGAGUAUCAUCAGCCGGACUAAUCGUGGGACACGCUGCCCUCUUAACGAUAACCUCGAAAGAACGGCGAGCUUACCCUCACCCUCAUGUACGCUCUGCAUGCGCGCUCAAUCUUGGCAUCGAUUAAUCGCGAUUUAUCGCGCAACGGGUGAUGACGCCUUCGCCCCGACCUUGUCCAGAAAACGAAAGUAGACUUGGUGAGGUUCGACGAUCCACGACGUGACGUUUUAUUUCCGCCCGUUCCACGGAAUUUCGCUCGUCGCGACCUUGGCUCGUGGCUAUCGUCCAACCGCUUGAUGACUAGACUACACGUGUUUGUUGUUUCGCCACUAUUUUUUUUCAAUGUCAAAGAAAUAUGCUCGGUCGAAAAAGAAAAAAAGAAAUAUUGCGUAUAACUUUUGGGGAGGGAAGAAUUAUCGGAAUUUCAUCGAUUCGAUUGAUUAUCGAUGCGUUAUACACGUCGAACAAGGGAGAAGAACGAAUUUUAUCGAUUAGAGAAGCGGUUAUUCGUU
rnacentral:lncRNA from 1 species